ACACCUAGCUGGUACAGCCUACAGCACACCUAGGCUAGAUUGUCUAGCCUGUUGCUCCUAGGCUACAAACCUGUGCAGCACUGUACUGAAUACUGUAGACAGUUGUAACACAAUGGUAUUUGUGUAUCUAAACAUAGAAAAGACAGAUCUUGCUGUGUUGCCCCAGCUGGAAUGCAGUGGCUCUUCUCAGGUAUCCCAGGGUUUGGAUGGACACUCGGUGACUCUCUAAAAUAUACUCUUCAGAGGAGGUGCUGCAACAUGGUCUGGAACUCUGAGUCAUAGCGUCGGUUGAUGUCGUCCCCGAUGAUGGCGAGCUGCCGUCCCACCUGCCCCAUGGUGCUGUAGGAGCAGGAGGCAUGCAGGGGCUUCUCAAAACGGUCACAGCAGCCUCCCUUAAAGCUGGGCAUGGGGCGUAUGGUGACCUACACCUGCAAGAGCAAGAAGGCCUGGCGGAGAGGUGAAGUCAGUUCUGCCCAUAGCAAGCCAGGAGGUGUCGGGCAACCUGCCUGAGAAGGAGGGGAAGGAGCCAGCAGGGGCGCCUCCGGAAAAACAGGGGCCUCAGACAGCAGCCACUUUAUCCAGAUCCUGCAG
rnacentral:sRNA from 1 species